UGCGUAGGUGGGCUAGUAAGUCCGUGGUGAAAUCUCCAAGCUUAACUUGGAAACUGCCGUGGAUACUAUUAGUCUUGAAUAUUGUGGAGGUAAGCGGAAUAUGUCAUGUAGCGGUGAAAUGCUUAGAUAUGACAUAGAACACCGAUAGCGAAGGCAGCUUGCUACACAAUCAUUGACACUGAGGCACGAAAGCGUGGGGAUCAAACAGGAUUAGAUACCCUGGUAGUCCACGCCCUAAACGAUGGAUACUCGACAUACGCGAUACACAGUGUGUGUCUGAGCGAAAGCAUUAAGUAUCCCACCUGGGAAGUACGAUCGCAAGAUUGAA
rnacentral:rRNA from 1 species